rnacentral:lncRNA from 1 species
GCGGGCGAGGUGACCUCGGGCGGAUUUGCAAGCCCCACAAGUUUCUCCUUUCUCUGCAAAACUGUCGUGAUUACAAUGUUGCUCCCCUUUUGCAAAAUAAAAGUAGGUUAGUUGGAUUGUUUGUCCUUAGAUUUCUAGGGGUUCAUGAAGGAGGAUGUGUAUUUCUCCCUCCCCCCCGCACUGCACACCCCGCGCCCUGUUACUUUUUUUUUCCGCUUCUCUUUCUGGGGAUGGAAAAACAACUUUGGGGCCCCCUGGGGGGUGCCGGCGUGGAGGUGGAGGUGUCCGCUAGGGCCCAGCUGUCAAAAAGCAGUGGGGCGUGGGGGGCAGAGACGACUGGGCAGGGAAACGCCGAGGAAAGGGCGCGAACUUUAUUCCGACUGCUGCGAACCUCGGCGUCGCUUUUCUUUUCGGGCAGUCGCCGGUCUCGGUCCCUUUUGACCAGUUCCUACUCGCGAGCCGCCGCCGCCGCCGCCGCCGCCGCCCCCUCCUCCUUUCCCCUUCCCCUCCUCCUUCGUGCCCGUCGCGCUGCCCCGCACCCGGAUCAGCCCGGGUCCCUGCUCGCUGUCGGGGAGAAGGGAAGGCAGGCACAGGUUUCGAGCAUAUUCCCUGAACACUUGAAAAUCAGAAUCGGCGGAGGCGAACACUUGGCUUGGCAGGACAGCAGGUCUGGUUACCGGUUUCCACUGAGAAGAGAAAAUCAUCCCUCCUUGCUUUCUCUCUUCCCCGAAGUAGAGGAAGAGACUGCCCAAUUGCACUCAGAGUACGAAGAUCAACUCAGUGCGAUGGGGCAAGAGAAGUGCCAUCAACGAAGCCCAAAGAAAGUUCGUAGAAGAGUUCCCUGGUGGCUCAGCAAGUUAAGGAUCCAGCGUUGUCACUGCUGUGGCUCAGGUCACUGUGGUUCAGGUCGCUGCAGUGAUCAUUGACCUGGAAUUUCAACCUGCUAUGGGUAUGCCUUUCCCCCCCAAAAGAGAAGAAGGACUUGUGGGAAAUCCAAAGAAAUGAGACUGUUCUGGUUCAAGAAAUAACUAGGAAGUGGUGUUUGAGAUGGGCCUAGAAAGAUGCCAACAGGCAGAGGGAUUUUCAGGUGGAGGAAAAUAAAUGUGAGAAGAAAGAAUGUGCA